UACGAAGGGGGCUAGCGUUGCUCGGAAUUCCUGGGCGUAAAGCGCACGUAGGCGGAUUGUUAAGUCGGGGGUGAAAUCCUGGAGCUCAACUCCAGAACUGCCUUCGAUACUGGCGAUCUCGAGUUCGGGAGAGGUGAGUGGAACUGCGAGUGUAGAGGUGAAAUUCGUAGAUAUUCGCAAGAACACCAGUGGCGAAGGCGGCCAUCUGGACGGUCACUGACGCUGAGACGCGAAAGCGUGGGUAGCAAACAGG
rnacentral:rRNA from 1 species